GCCUCUGCUCUGGGCUGAGCAAACCCAGGGACCUCAGAUUCUCCUCUAGAUCCUUGGCUAUCUUAGAUUUUUUUUUUUCCUGUAGGUUUUAAAAAUAGCUUUUUGUUUGGCUUGGGUGCCUUAUUUCCUCAAACUCCCUUCUUUAAACAAAACUUAAAGAAAAUAUAAGACUUCAAGGGAACUGCCAAAGGAUAUCUUUAUAUGGGCAUUCUCAUGCAGAAAGUCAACUAAAAUCACUCUACCUUUGAACAUGCACUAUUAGAGAAAGCCAUGUGAAGCUCACGCAGCUCAGAUGAAAUCACUGUACAAGUUCAUUUCUGCCCAGGUGACAGGUGGGAAAGAAACCAUCUGUCUCUCUCCAGCAAUGGAUGCACUGUUGGAAGCUUUGAAAAAAAUCCAGAAUUACAAAGUUGCUAACAGAGCACCUGGGAGUAUAGCAAAUGCAAUUGAGCUAAAGGUCAAAGAAUUCUUGAUGUGCAAGUAAGUGUGUUUCGGCAGAAUAUGAUCAAAGUCGAGUCCACAAGAGCUUAAUUUUUUUUUUUGAAAUUCGUAAGAUCUCUUUGGAAGUUCAUAAAAUCUUAAUAAGCACUUUCUUUUGAGAACAUUGUUCUUGGUUUUUUUUUUUUUUUUUUUUUUUUUUUGUGAAUUCACCACUGUACUUCCAUUUUUUACUUCUACAGGUAACAUUCCUAAAAUGGAGUAACAGACUAAUAAUCUUGCCAGACUGUAAAAAACAUGAUAUUUAACUUUUUUUUUUUUUUUAAUUUUGAGUUUAGCUAUUUUUUUGUUAGAUUGAUUUUUCUGGAAUGGGCAAUAGUUUUAAAAUUGUAACACAAAUCUAUGGUAGGAUUUUACUCAGGACUUUAAACAUAGAGUCAUAAAAAGUCAAUGGCUGGCAGGUAUAUCUGGCUGUUGUGUCCAGGAGAUUAUGCAGUUUAACCUCUUGUUCAAAGCAACGCCGACUUUGUAGCUAGAGUCAGAUUUCCCCAUGAAUUUUGAGCCAAGCUUUGAGUAUCUUAAGGAUGAGAUUCCACUGCAUCCCUGCACAAACUGUUCCAUGCUUAAUCAUUCACAAAGUUAAAAGAACUUUCUCAGUAUUUAUUUAAUCAGGCUUUCCUUAUGAUAACCUAGGCCUAUUGCAUUUGGUCCUGUGCAACUCAGAGAAGACACUGGCAUCUAAAAGCUUAUUUUCUAGUCAAAACUGCUCAUGUUACCUUCCUCUUUAUGCCUUUAUAUCUUAAUUAGCAAUGUUAUAGAAGAGUGAUGAGUCACAUAAUUUCUUUUUUAUUAGUUUUAGCCUUGUUUGGGUAGAUGAUGAAAAAGGGAGUAAUAAAAUUGUCAUGUCUUCAGUUAGAAAACUGCA
rnacentral:lncRNA from 1 species